UCAAGGUGCUGCUUUGAGAAGUUAAAGGAGAUCUUCCAAUUUCUGAGCUGAAGCUUGGUGAAAAAAAAGACAUGGCAACAGCCCAUUCCACUGUGAAAACACAUGAAGAUAUCAUUCAGUAGCUCAUUUUGAAGACAGCUUCUAAACUUGUAUGACUCAUGGAAUGGCGUAGAAAAGGAUAGAAGGAAACACAGAAAAAGCAAUUGCAAAGUGCUGACUGAAUAGGCCUGGUGAAUGAAGAGAAGCAAAGAGGCAGAAGUACUCCAAACUGCUCUGUUACAUCCAAACAAUAUUCUUCAGUUCAGUUAGAGCCAUGUACCUCAGCUGGGUCUGUUCCUGGUUCUGCUGUGCACGUGCCGAGAACCCUAACAUGGGAUUGGCUCAGAGAGAGGCAUAGAGAAGAGACCUACCAGCAAUGA
rnacentral:lncRNA from 1 species